GGAGAAUAGAACUCACCUCUUGGCUUUAUGCAAGCAAAAAAAUUCACCUUCUUCUGAGCUUCUCGCACAUCCUUUUGUGUAUACAGUAGUGUUAUUCCUUAAUGGAUGCUAUCAUUAUGUUUCUCUUUUAAUGUUUUCCAGGUGGGAAAAGAAUGUGAACAAGGUUCUUCAGGAAGGUUUCUUCUCAGCUAGAAAAGGAGAACAGGCAUUUCUUAAGGAGGACUGCAGCCCAUGGGACUUGGACUUCAAACAACAAAUGUGCAGAGCUCACAUGAACUUGAAGCUGCCCUUUUAUUUGUGACAUCCAUAAACAUUUAUGAUGCUUGGUUUUCAUCCCAUAAAAUCAACUGAGUCAGUGGAGCUAUCUGUGAAGAAAACUGGAAUUGGCUGGGCAGUUGGACUACUAUGAUGUGGCUGUUGUUGAUAUGGUAAAGCAUCUCUUCAGCAGAACCACGCGCUUCAGUGAAAUCCAGUGAAACAAAAGGAAGAUUGUUACCAAAAAUGUCUAUAGAAAGCCAUGCCAUAUGGUCUUCAGCAUUUUAGCGGGUGAGUGGAAAGAAGAGAAGCUCAGGCAGAAGCAUGCUGAACAUAUUUAAAAGACUGUUGACCUGAAAAAGCAGAAAUGGAAAAGAUCUGUUUUCUCUCCUGAAUAACUUAUGUGGUCUGUUUUUAAUUGCCUUGUAUGUUCUAGAAUCUUAUAGAAUGAGAAUUAAAUAUUUUUUUUCUUUUCCUUUUUUUCCAGGAGAGCAUAUUUAAAAUAACUAGCUUAUAUUCCCUCAGCUCUCCUUUAUAAAAGAUAUUUAUAUUCCUUGUGUUUGAUCUUUUCCAAUCUCUUU
rnacentral:lncRNA from 1 species